rnacentral:rRNA from 1 species
UACAGAGGUGGCGAGCGUUAUUCGGAAUUAUUGGGCGUAAAGGGCGCGCAGGCGGCUGCUCAAGUCAGGCGUGAAAGGCCUGGGCUCAACCCGGGAAUUGCGCUUGAGACUGGGCUGGCUUGAGUGCGGGAGAGGAUAGUGGAAUUCCCAGUGUAGAGGUGAAAUUCGUAGAUAUUGGGAAGAACACCGGUGGCGAAGGCGGCUAUCUGGCCCGUAAUUGACGCUGAGGCGCGAAAGCGUGGGGAGCAAACAGG